GAUGAUAUAGCCAAGUGGUAUAUAAGGCAGAGAAUUGCAAAUUCUUGACCCUCAGUUCAAAUCUGAGUAUCAUCUA
rnacentral:tRNA from 1 species